rnacentral:tRNA from 1 species
GCCCACGCGGGCGGAGCGGUGCGCGCCUCGGGGCUGAAAUCCCGGGGGCGGAACGACUGCGGAGCCUGCGGUUCGGGCACCUGCACCUGGGCC